rnacentral:rRNA from 1 species
CAGUCGCCGCGGUAAAACGUAGGGUGCAAGCGUUAAUCGGAAUUACUGGGCGUAAAGCGUGCGCAGGCGGUUUGUUAAGACAGAUGUGAAAUCCCCGGGCUCAACCUGGGAACUGCAUUUGUGACUGGCAAGCUAGAGUGUGGCAGAGGGGGGUGGAAUUCCGCGUGUAGCAGUGAAAUGCGUAGAUAUGCGGAGGAACACCGAUGGCGAAGGCAGCCCCCUGGGCCAACACUGACGCUCAUGCACGAAAGCGUGGGGAGCAAACAGGAUUAGAUACCCGCGUAGUCCCUGUCUCUUAUAA